rfam:Arenibacter nanhaiticus strain CGMCC 1.8863 genome assembly, contig: Ga0066783_101
UGAUAACCAAAUUCCGCGUUAGCGAUUGCAGCGGCAUCCUUUUUUAGACGGCUCAGCCGGCAAAAAAGAUAUAGCGGAAAGCGCGCCCCGAU